rnacentral:lncRNA from 1 species
ACUCCUUAGGAGUCAUUCUCUCUGAUAGACGGCAACAAAAACAAAGGUGAUAUUGCCUCAUCAUCUUUCUUAAAGGUGAAGGAUCGCGGUGUCACCUUUAGGAUCCCUCGCCUGAAGUCAGGACUCACCUGAGCAGAAUGAUGGCUUCUCAGUGAAUCCCACUUCCCACUUGCAUUUCCAGAGACAAGUCUGGUUCCUCUAGAUUCACACACACAUAAAGAAAUAGUUAUCCUUCUCCUUGCCCCUGAUCUCCCACUGAACAAUGCCUGGGAUAUGUGGGUUUUGGAGUGUCUAUCAGGAAGGAUGUGUGGAGGAUUUCUCGACCCCUAUUAUUUUCCUUUCUGUGUACAAGGCAUGUGUCGGUUGCUACCUGAGCAGAGGUGGCAGCUCCAUAUAGGCUGGCUAAGAGAAGAAAACUGUUCUCACUCAGAUUCUAUAAAUUACUCGCAUUCUCACUUUAAUAUCAAGUAUGAUAUAUAUUAGAGUGCAUGGUUUUGGCUAGAAUCAAUUUGGAAGGCUGUCAAAUAAAACACAAAAUGGGAAAAUAAAUCCAAAGGAAAAUUGAUGACAUGAUUUUACUCCCAUUACAUUCCACUUAACAAAUGCAUAUGUUUUACAAUAUCUUUAAUAAUAAUUAUUAAACAUAGUAAAAUACUU